rnacentral:lncRNA from 1 species
UUCCAGAGUGAUGUCUUUAAAGAUAGCAGAGAGGAGACAGAAUGAGAUGCCUUCCUCUUUCUCUUUUUUAGUUCACCCUUUAAGCAAGUAUUGUCAUUUACUAGAUGCACAGGCAGCAUCACUGAAGGGGUCACAGAGCCCCAGCCACACCCUCCUCCUCUCUGAAAGUGUAAUGUAAAGUGUAGUUGAUUUCUUCACCCCACAAUCCUUUAAGAAGCCACUAAACACAAAAUCCAGUCAAGAUUUAGAGCAGUGGCUCUCAGCCUUCCUAAUGCUAAGAGCCUUUAAUACAUUUUCCCUCAUGUUGUAGUGACCCCCCCCCAACUAUAAAGGCAUUUUCACUGCUACUCCAUAACUGUGAUUUUGCUACUGUUAUAAAUCAUAACACAAAUAUUCGAUAUGCAGGAUAUCUUGUAGCAACCCCUGUGAAAGAUUGUUUGACCCGAGAGGGGCCGCGACCCACAGGUUGAGAACCCCUGAUCUAAAACGCAUGGAAAGUGAAAUUGUUUUUAAAAGCUUGUUGCCCAAAAUAUCUUAAAAGUUUACAUUUUGGAGCCACUUAUAUUUCCACUUAUAUUCAUAAUGUGUGUGGGGGGGUGGGGGGUGUAUCACUUCACUUUUAAAUUACAGUUGUACACUACUAUAGGAGCAUAAGCAAUUGAGGUUGCAUAAACUCCUAAUAGAUCUGGGAAACACUGUUUUUUUAAGGGAUGCCAUAACAUCACAGGGAAACGUGACAUGCCCCCGGCCACGCUGAUGAAAACCCCUCUACAUUGUUACCUGUACGAAAGUGUAGCACAUGCUACGGUGAUAGUACAUCGUGGUUGAUAAGGAUAACCAGCUAUCACUGAUCAACGUGGUUGCUAAAAUACGCUUCUCAUUGUGACUCAGAAUAUACUCUAGGAGAAAAAAAGUUUUCUAUGUGCAAACAGUAACAGAGCCCCCCUCAUUUGACUGUCGCUUGGUUUUGCAUUGGGCCUUCACACAUAUCAUUCAUUCACACACAACCUCCAUGUUGUCUGCUUCUCUCUUGCUUUCAUAUUUCCACUUCAUUUUUUAAAAUAGUGUGUCUCCCUACUCUCCAAUCACAGUCAUGUUUUUUACAAACCAUGUUGGUUUGGGUUAUUUUUAGGCAGGAGGUCAGUGUUUUGUUUUUUAAAUAAGCCUUACAUCACGGUUGGUUAUGCUAUUAUGUCCUGUCUGCUUUUUGUUUUCUUGUUUUAUACAUAGAACAGAGAUUAUUUUGUGCCUUUGGAAUAUCAUUCCAGUGUAUAAAUACAAAUGAAAUAAUGUGUCAAAUUAGCUCACUCCAUGGGGUCAUCUAGAAAUAGGCUUCUCUCCGUAGACAUUCUGCUGCUGGCAACCUAAGCAAACUUCAUACGGCAAAUGGAUUCUCUAUGCCUGGUAAACAGACUCCUCGCAAAUUUGAAAUUAGUUAGCAACAAAAACAACAGAAGUUCCGAUUUACAAUUCAGG